AUCCAGCUGACGAGUUCCAAAUAGGUUGAAACACGCGUCCUGAAU
rfam:Schistosoma curassoni strain Dakar, Senegal genome assembly, scaffold: SCTD_scaffold0010756